AAAUUGAAGAGUUUGAUCAUGGCUCAGAUUGAACGCUGGCGGCAGGCCUAACACAUGCAAGUCGAACGGUAACAGGAAGCAGCUUGCUGCUUCGCUGACGAGUGGCGGACGGGUGAGUAAUGUCUGGGAAACUGCCUGAUGGAGGGGGAUAACUACUGGAAACGGUAGCUAAUACCGCAUAAUGUCGCAAGACCAAAGAGGGGGACCUUCGGGCCUCUUGCCAUCGGAUGUGCCCAGAUGGGAUUAGCUUGUUGGUGGGGUAACGGCUCACCAAGGCGACGAUCCCUAGCUGGUCUGAGAGGAUGACCAGCCACACUGGAACUGAGACACGGUCCAGACUCCUACGGGAGGCAGCAGUGGGGAAUAUUGCACAAUGGGCGCAAGCCUGAUGCAGCCAUGCCGCGUGUAUGAAGAAGGCCUUCGGGUUGUAAAGUACUUUCAGCGGGGAGGAAGGGAGUAAAUUUAAUACCUUU
rnacentral:rRNA from 2 species